AACAGUGUCUACUUCUUCAUAUUUAAGAUG
rnacentral:piRNA from 1 species